rnacentral:rRNA from 1 species
CAGCAGCCACGGUAAUACGUAGGGCGCAAGCGUUAUCCGGAAUUAUUGGGCGUAAAGAGCUCGUAGGCGGUUUGUCGCGUCUGCCGUGAAAGUCCGGGGCUCAACCCCGGAUCUGCGGUGGGUACGGGCAGACUAGAGUGAUGUAGGGGAGACUGGAAUUCCUGGUGUAGCGGUGAAAUGCGCAGAUAUCAGGAGGAACACCGAUGGCGAAGGCAGGUCUCUGGGCAUUAACUGACGCUGAGGAGCGAAAGCAUGGGGAGCGAACAGGAUUAGAGACCCCGGUAGUCCCUGUUUCUUAUAC